UGAGAGAGGAAUUCUAUUUUUUGCCUGAAA
rnacentral:piRNA from 1 species